ensembl:misc_RNA Metazoa_SRP Metazoan signal recognition particle RNA
GCCAGGCAUGGUGGUGUGUGCCUGUAAUCCCAGCUACUUGGGAGGCUGAGACAGGAGAAUUGCUUGAACCUGGGAGGUGGAGGUUGCAGUGAGCCGAGAUCCUGCCACUGCACUCCCGCCUGGAUGACAAAGCAAGACUCUGUCUCAA